CGAUUCCCGCGGUUUAAAUCCCCCCCGGCCCCGCCCCGCGCAGGCGCUCUGGGGCCCCGCGCACCUGUGCAGGCCCCGCCCCUCACACCUGAGCCGGCCCCGCCCCGCCCGCGCCCGUAAAUCCCGGCGGAGCCGCGCCCGCGCCGUUUUCUGCAGUGGAGGCUCAGCCCGGGAUGCGGCGGGACCGGCGCUCGGAGCGCUGUGCGGAGCCCCGGGCUGGGGGGCUGCUCCCGGCGCUGCGCGGAGCUUGAGGCGCUGAGGGAAUAAAUGACCCGAGGCUGUUCUUGUCUCUGGCAGAUGCAGAGCAGGCUUGGAUAUGUGCUCCCGCUGUUGUGGGCAGAGCUGUCCUGCCCUUCCUGUCUUGGGAAGUUGCUCCAUCCUGUGCCGGAGGGAGAGAUCUGGGUCGGUGCUGUGUUCUGCAUGCCUGGACUGGCCAAGGCUGCGGCUGUGGUUGGAAUAUUGCCCUGGAGAUCCUGGACAGGUACCCUGCAGUGAGUGAAAAGAUCACUGAGGAUGGAGAGAGGCUGGGGUUGAGCUGAAGAGACUUGGAGAAAGCACUUUCCAGAGUGACACUUCUGCUGAAAGGAUUUGGCAAGAAAAUGCUGAAGCAGAGUUCCCUUCUUCUAUUGCUGAGAUGUUUCUGCUCCAAGUCCCUCAGUCCCUGAGGACUCCCAGGUGUUCCAAGGUAGCAGCAGCUGGAAAAUCCUGUUGUGUGUGAGGCAGCCAGUUGGGAAUGGUGCUGGGCUCUGGCUGUGGAGGGGCUGGCUGGGUGUGGGUCAGGGGAUGUGCAGUGAGAGCAGUGUGCUGUGGGGUGGGCAGGGCCUGUCUCUUGUGUCUGCCAGGGGCACUGGGAGAAAACCUGCCGUGUGCCCUGAGCUGCUUUGGUGUGUUGGAUCUCCUGUUUCCAUGGCUUUUCCCAAAGAGUGGGAAGAAGAAGCCAUUCCUCUGCUUUAGCUAAAAGGACACCUGGAAUUUUGCCCUCCUACAGAACUGCUGAGUUCUGUUGCUUUUCCUGGUUUGGGAAUACAGAGGAUGGGGGCAGAGGAUUUUGUCUCAUUUUGUGCCUCUCUGUUGUUUCAGCUCCUGCUCAGAAGAUGAACAGAACCUUGUCUGCUCAAGGCCCCUGGCAAGCAGGGGACAAAGAAGGGACCCAGAACCUCUUGGCCCCGUGGCAGAGAGAGAAGCAGCCGAUGGUGCUGGCAGAGCUGCUGUGAGUCCCUGCUGGAGUCUGGUUUGGUGCUGUCUCUUUGUCCCCCUGCAGGCCCUGCUGGAGCAUGUCCAGGCUGUGCCACGUCUGUCCCCAGCUGGGUGCAGGCGUUUGCCCUUGGCAGGGUGCCCUGGGGGCUGAGGGCUGCCCUUGCCCUGCUGCUGGCAGGGGAGGCAGGGCUGGCACGGGGCAGCUCCUGCACUCCUGGCUUCCACAGGCUCCCGUGGUUCUCUCCAGGCUGUUCCAGGCUGCUGCAGCGCUCGGCCAAAGCCCUGGAGCCCCUGGGCUGUGGAUGGGCGCUGGCUCCAGGCAAAGGCCACUUGUGGAGGGCCUGGCCCCGGGGGCAUUCCUGGAAGGAGGAGGGCCCUGGGGUGAGAGCUGUGAGCCCUGAGGUUGGAGAGGAGCCUGGCAUGGCACAGAGAGACUUGGAGAAAGCGUUUUCCAGACUCACACUUGUGCUGAAAGGUCUGCAGCAGGGCUGAGUUUUGCAGAGAGGUUAUGAAGGGUUUGUGAGAGCAGAGCAGGAAUGGAGAAAUCAGCUCCAGCAGGGCCCCUGGCACGUGUGGGACAAGAACUGACACAGGAUUUCCUGGGUCCCUGGCACAGAGAGAAGCAGCAAAUGGUGUUGGCAGAGUUUCUGUGAGUCCCUGUGAGAUCCUGGUCUUGUUACAGCUUAGGAAAGGAUCUGAAUAGGAAAACAGCUUGUUUGACAUGAAACUCUCACGUGGGACACAAGAACAAGGUGAUGGGAUAAGACUUGUUGGAGCCUAGAAAUAAGGUGAUGUGGAUAUUUUGGAUAGAGGCAAAGCAUCUGCAAACACGUGGCAGAGGACUCUGAAAGGUGAGUGCAGAGCUGAAGGACACAAGCAGGAAAACAUCUGGGGCUGUGUUUGGGUUUCUCAAGGCCUUGUAGAGUCCUGUCUGGAGUUGCCAUUUGUCAGUAGAGCUGGGUCAGGAUCCUUCCGUGGAAAGUCAUGAUUGUCUUGUGUUCCUGGCUUUUUAGCAGCUUGAGUUUUGCCAAGGAAGGGCAUCCUGCUCUUGCUGUUGUGUUGGGACAGGUGAGUGCCCUUUUGGCCCUCCUCCAAGGAGCAGAGGAGCCUGGAUUUGUGUCCCUGGGAUUGUCCUGACCUUCCAGACAAGCCCCAAGGUGAGUGCCAAGGCACAGGGGGUGCUCUGGGAGUCUGGAGGGGUUGGGCUCUUCUGUCCUGGUUCUGCUGAGGGGAUUGCUCAGGGCUGGACAACAGGCCCUGAGCCAAACCUUCCAACCACUGCUGUGUUUGUAUGCACUCAUUAACAAAAGACACAGGAUCAUUAGUGUGGGCUCUGGGUGUCUGCUCAUUAGCAAACACAGACUGACCUUUCUGUACUGGGAAGCUGGAGAAGGCCAUGAGAUGAGAGCCCUGCUCUUGCUGGGAGCUCCAUGGUCCAAGGCAGCUCCUGGGUUGCUCCCUGAGCCCUGGCCAGGCUCUGGGAGGAAGCCAGGAGAGGCUGAGCCCAGCUGUUCCUGGCCUGGCAGUGCUGGGAGCCUGUGGAUGGCACCCAGGGGUGCCAGCUGGGCCCUGUGCCAGCCCAGGGGGAGCCUCUUUGCCUGCGGGUGGACGCACCCGUGGGAAUUCCCAGUUCUGGGAGGGGCUCUCAGGGCUGGGCUGGGACAGGGGCUCCCCAGCUGGGGUUCUGCAGGCUGGGGCAGCCUUAGGGGGUCCCUGGGGCUGGCUCUCAGUCCCUGUGGACAGUCCUGGGUGGCAGUGAUGAGGGGCAGUGCUGAGCUUCUCCUUAUGCUCUCCAGAGAGGCAAAUCAGAGGCUUCUUUCCAAAGCUCUUCAAAGGAAAAUGGCAACUGAAAUAUUUGGAAUCCUCAAAAAUAGUUCAACUUCUUCCUGUAGUUAAUGACAUAAUGAAAGUAAGCGGAGAGAUAGAGUGGAGUUUGUGUCACUUCCAGAAGUAUUCCAGGGAGUACAAAGUGCACAGUUGUGUUGGUGAGAUGGCAGAAAUGAAUUUGUUCCCUUCAGAUCACACAUUUUGAUCAGGAGGUUUUUGCAGGCAGUUGUUUAACUGGGAAGGCAAUGAGAGUUUCUGAGGUGAAGCUGAGAUCUGCUGUGACCCUUUGUGGCUCACCCCACUGUGGGACACUGGGCUGUCCAUGAUGAAUGACUCUGACCAGUGCCCACUGUGAGAGCCAGGUCACUCUGCAUGGCCCAGGCUGGCCUGGAGGGACAAAAAGAGGUUUGGGUGGCUCUGGCCAAGGUGCUGAGACAGAGGGGGAGAACUCUCAGCACCUUGGGGCUCCGAGCUGGGCCUGGAGGGAGCAGGAGACAAAUCCUGCAAGGUGAGAUGGUGCCUGUUCUCAUACUGAUUGCCCUCCUGACACAACUGGCUCAGGUACCAACUUUCUUUUCCCUUAUUCACUUUCUAAAAUAAUAUUUGUGUGCUUUCUUCUCACUGUACAGCUAUAGAGAAUAACUCCAACGUCUGCACAGCUGCUUUCCAUUGCUGCCAAACAGUUUAAAAAAUCAGCCCUACAUCCAUGAGUGUGUAUUUACCAACACAGAGCAUCCAUUGCUCUUGGGUGCUGCUCCUCCUGAAGGGAUCUGUGAAGGACCUGGGUAACUCUGGCUGUUCUGGGGGUGGAAAAACCACCUGUGAAAUACAAACAUCAGCCUGGUACUGUCACUAAUCAGAGAAAAGAAAUCUGAUGCCAUUCCUCUCUUUGGAAUCUGCAGGGCAGGUACUGAUCCCUGCUCCAGCCACUCUAGUGUGCAGCACAGUUGUUUUUCAGGGACAUGGUGGGUAAUGGAUGGGAUUCCAGCUGGAGAGCUCUGGUUUACUCUGGGUUCCCAGAGAGCUUUUCCUGCUCCCUGAGGUGGUCACAGAAGAGAUCCCAGGGAAGCCGUGAAGACUCCACUUGCUCCUUUUUCCUGCCAGGUACCUGGAGUGAGAGCAGUGACCCCUGAGAAUGGAGAGGGGUUUUGGGUGAGACCAAGACACUUGAAGAAACCUCUUCCCAGAAUGACGCUUCUGUGGUACCCUGGAGUGAGUGCAGUGACCCCGAGGAUGGAGAAGGGCUUGGGAUGAGACAAAGAGACUGGGGGAAACCAUUUUGCAGAAUGACACUUGUGUGGACAGGCAACCCCCCUGGGUGCUUUGCACAUCACAGGUUUUUCCAUCUGUUGUCACAUUGGAACACCCUGGAGUCCUCAGGUACAGAGGGACUGUGAGAAAAGGAUUCCCAGCGAGAUGAGCAAGGUCAUGCUUUUGUUAUGGAUUUGCUUGGAAAAUUCUGCCAGAAAAUGAUUUUACACUGUUUUUUGCACAGAACCCAAAUUAAACAAGGCAGCUCUGGCAAAGCCAGCAGCAGCUCUCACUGACUCUCCAGUGGGAGUCUCUCCCCCAGGCUGAGCCUAAAUGCCCUGAGUCCCUGAGGUGCAGGUGUCACCUCAGCAUGGAGCACACCUGGCCUGAGGCCCUGCUCCUCUGUGGAUGUGCCCUGUGGAUGAGGAGGGGCUGGUGUGGAAGAAGCAGGACACCAGCCCAGCCUUUCACAGGCUUUUCACAUUUGGCUUUGGGGCUGGAGGCGCUGCCCUCCUCUGCUCUGCCUGCAUUUUAUCUGCUGUUGUUUUUCCAACACCCUCCUGUCCCACAGGUCAGACUUCCCCCCACAUGGAGCUGUUUGGCUCCCUCUGGAAUGGGGGCAGCCUCUCCCUGUGGGUGCAGGAACACGUCCUGUGCUUCCUGCAGUGUCCUUCUCUGGACCCUGGAGCCAUUAGACCUUGUCCCCACGUGGAACACAGUGAGAGUUUGGAGUAGCCGUGGCCAUUCCUGAUCCUGGCUGUGUCCUUGAGGAGCUGUCUGUGCCCAAAGCCAGGGGGUUCUGAAGGUGUCCCCCUGUUGGAGUCCAUGUUUCCAUGGAUCCUCCCCAGAGAGUGAAAUGUGAGGGGAUUGAAUUAAAACCUUGAGAAAAAUUAGAAUAUAUAAAGCCAUAUAUGCAUAAAGCAGAAAUCUAAGCCUCAGUUUUAAGCUUCACAUGCCCUAAGUGCCGAGUUGUUAGUGUAGAAGUACAGAGCUUCAGGCCUAGUGAUAGAGUUUAGACACAACAAAAAUAGAGUAGAGUACUGUUUAUGAUUUUUGGUAUGAAUUUUGCACAAAGAAGAUCAAGUUUUUUACGUGUGUUAAGAUAGAGUUUUUCACAUAACAAGAUGUAAUUUUUACGCACAAUAAGAUAGAACUUUUACACUAGCAAGAUGGAGUUUUUGCACUGAUAGACGUGCUAUAUGCAUAAGUUUUUGAUGCUGCUUUUCGUAGUUUUUUGUAGUUUUAUGAACUUAGAGAAUUGCACCUAGAUUGGGUAGUGUGUAGAUAAAGAUAUGAAUGUGCGUUUGUAACAUGUGUAAAAAGCCUCUGGGUUGGAAGUGAAGGUAUUGAUUGAUCAACCCUAUCUAUGGAUCCACCCUCCACCUUGUGCAGCCUGGGGAAGGAGCCCUGCCAGGGAGCGGAAUGGGAUUCUAAAGGUACCACCUAUUGCAGCCUUUGUCGCUGGGAUCAGGGCCCCGGGGUCCCGUCCCUUCCCUUUCCCCCUGGGUGCUUGCCUGGAACUCUGUUCGGGGCUGCCGGGGACUCUGCGAGGGUCCAGGACCCCUUCUUGGCUCUGCGACCCCGGGACCCCCUUCCUGUCCCUGUGAUCCCUGCGGCCGGGAACUCUGCGUGGGAUUCGGGACCUUAGGAUCCCCUUCCUGUCACUGCAGUCCUGUGGCCAGGAACUCUGCCGGGUUUGGGAUCCCUCACUGCCAUUGCUGUCCUGCGGUUGGGAACUCUGCCGGGUUUGGGAUCCCUCACUGCCAUUGCUGUCCUGCGGUUGGGAACUCUGCCGGGUUUGGGAUCCCUCACUGCCAUUGCUGUCCUGCGGUUGGGAACUCUGCCGGGUUUGGGAUCCCUCGCUGCCAUCGCUGUCCUGCGGUUGGGAACUCUGCCGGGUUUGGGAUCCCUCACUGCCAUUGCUGUCCUGCGGUUGGGAACUCUGCCGGGUUUGGGAUCCCUCGCUGCCAUCGCUGUCCUGCGGUUGGGAACUCUGCCGGGUUUGGGAUCCCUCACUGCCAUCGCUGUCCUGCGGUUGGGAACUCUGCCGGGUUUGGGAUCCCUCACUGCCAUCGCUGUCCUGCGGUUGGGAACUCUGCCGGGUUUGGGAUCCCUCGCUGCCAUCGCUGUCCUGCGGUUGGGAACUCUGCCGGGUUUGGGAUCCCUCACUGCCAUCGCUGUCCUGCGGUUGGGAACUCUGUGUGGGUUCUGAAUCUCGGGACCUUUUCUGUCACUGUCAUCCCCAUGGCCGGGACCCCUGUCUGGGAUUUGUGAUCUCGUGAUCCCUUUCUGUUAUUGCGACCCCACGGCCGGAAACCCUGCUUGGGAUCAGGAGAUUGGAGGUUGGUUUUACCUGGAGGCUGUUAUGUUCUAUUCUAUGUUUGGAUUGUUGCUUUACUGGAAUUUGCUUGCUAAGACUUUGUUUGUAACCGAUUGUAAGACUGUAACACCGCUUAUUUAGGACUCUGGCACCUUCAGAUACAUGCUUUCAUAUAAUAAACAACUCUGUUUAAGACCUUAAAAUGUUCUUAGACCUUUAAGACCUAUAACCCGUAGAAAUGGCCUCGGCAUCCCCCCACGGCUGUGGCAUCCUGAGCGUGCAGGAGCUGCUGUGGGAGGGCUCUGCCACGGGCACUGAUCCUGGGCUGGGUGGGUCCAUGAACUCCCCAAGUGCAGAGCCAGGGCACAGCCCUGCCCUGUCCCCACACCUGCCGCACAUGAGGGACACAGUGAGGACCUGCAUUCCUGUCACCCUGACUGCUGUGACCUCUG